AGCCCAGAAAAACACGUACAAUUAGAAAUUUUAUUAUUAUUAUUUUUUUUAAUUCGCACUAGAAUGGCUUAACUCGGACUCUCCCCUCUCCAAAAUAAGAGUGGUAUUCUAGCUUAAUUCGACCCCACUCCUGUGGUCUGAAACACAUGUGUGCAGAACACAGAAAAUUAUUAGCAGGCAUGAGGGGUAGUUUCUCGCUUUCUUGGUGUUUUUGCCCUGGAAAGACUCCACAAGUUGCCUUCCAUGGAAUCUAGCAGCGAAGAACCUACCGAGGAGAACGUAAACGCUGUCGUCCAUCAGUUUGUUAAGCUGUGAGAUGUAAUUAGAAAUAAACUCGCGGUAGGAAGGGAGAUGGCGGAUGCGGCAUUGCAGUGCCGCGGCUCCAAAGUACUGGAGCCCCAAACUAAAUGUUUGCAGUCACAGGGAGUAGCACAGUAAUGGAACUUGCCACGGGAUCUCUGGCAUGCUGGUCGUUGUUGGAACCACAUCAUCGAAACUGCUUGUCUUGGGAUAUUUUAUUCUUGUUCGCCUUGUCUGGGACUUCUCCCCUCUGUGAAUACCAGCCAAGAAGGGUAAAAUGAAUUCAUCAUGGUUGUAAACUUCCCAGGGCAGAAACUUUGCUUUUGCGUUUUGGGAGAGAACUUCUCAGUGGCGGACGAGAUGCCUUGGUAAUGAGCCCAUAGAAAAGGUGACGUUUACCUACCACCAAAUCAAAUAUAAGUGCCCAAAGUCAGGCUGCCAUCUUAAAUCCUUUGAGAAAAGCCACAGGCAAUAGCUUCGGAGCCACCCCCACGUGUUGCUAGAAUUGUUCUGCUGCGUAUAAUGUUUUGUAUUUUUGUGACAGCCUGAGUGAAACCACAGACCCUUGCCCAUUAUUAGCACUGAUGGUAACCUAGUGCAUCUGGAAGGAGCAAAAGCCGCAGUGUGUUUUAUAGAGCAGCAAUGCCCCCUCCUGUCAGCUUUGCUGGGGUGAAGAGUCAUUGCUACAGUGAGUGCAAAAGAACUUCACACUCUCACCCCAUCACCAUUUCCCGGCCUCUACACAUCACACAUGCCAGCAGAGAUGAAGGUCCUGCAAACUUGGCUUUCUAUAGUCUGUAAAAAAAAAAUCAAAUUUAAUAUUCAUGGUUAUUACCUUUCUUCUUACACAAUGAGGUCCAAUUAUCUCUACGGCUGUGGAGGUAGGCAACAUGCUCCAUAAGGACCACAUGAGUUGUCUAAACAGAUUUUGUUCCAACACUAGAACCUUGAUGGAAAUGGUCAAAUGUGUCUGCAUAUCUACCUAUCUUUACAAACUCCACUGGUCUCUUAUAGUAGUAUGAAGACCACACAAUCAUUUAUAAAACAAAUACGGUGGGCCAUGUCUUCGUGUUCCAGUAACUUCUCAAGAAGGAACUGAUAAGACCCUUGGCUAGAACUAGUCAAAGGACCAAGCGUCUCCCUCUGACUUGGUCUGUAUCUCCUUGCCUUACAAGGCUUGCCUCGCUUCCCUGGCUCACUUGUGGCGUUCAUGCAAGAGUUCUUUCUUGGGCAAAGCUUUGAAGCACCUUGCAGAAGACUUUCAGAACUGCUCAGUGAGUCUGUUUCAGAUGGAGAAACUGAGGCUUAGAGGGCAGCUGAGUACCUUGCCAAUGGUCAUUUUCAAAGCCGAGGUCUGACUACAAACAGC